AUACGGAGGGUGCGAGCGUUAAUCGGAAUUACGGGGCGUAAAGGGUGCGUAGGCGGCUUGAUAAGUCGGAUGUGAAAGCCCCGGGCUUAACCUGGGAAUUGCAUUCGAUACUGUCAGGCUAGAGUAUGUCAGAGGUUGGCGGAAUUCCUGGUGUAGCGGUGAAAUGCGUAGAUAUCAGGAGGAACACCAGUGGCGAAGGCGGCUAACUGGGGCAAUACUGACGCUGAGGCACGAAAGCGUGGGGAGCAAACAGGAUUAGAAACCCUAGUAGUCC
rnacentral:rRNA from 1 species